rnacentral:rRNA from 1 species
CAGGACGAACGCUGGCUGCGUGCUUAACACAUGCAAGUCGAACGCUGAAGCCUGGUGCUUGCACCGGGUGGAUGAGUGGCGAACGGGUGAGUAACACGUGAGUAACCUGCCCCCGAUUUCGGGAUAAGCCCGGGAAACUGGGUCUAAUACCGGAUAUGACCAGAGGACGCAUGUUCUGUGGUGGAAAGUUUUUCGAUCGGGGAUGGGCUCGCGGCCUAUCAGCUUGUUGGUGGGGUAAUGGCCUACCAAGGCGACGACGGGUAGCCGGCCUGAGAGGGCGACCGGCCACACUGGGACUGAGACACGGCCCAGACUCCUACGGGAGGCAGCAGUGGGGAAUAUUGCACAAUGGGGGAAACCCUGAUGCAGCGACGCAGCGUGCGGGAUGACGGCCUUCGGGUUGUAAACCGCUUUCAGCAGGGAAGAAGCGAAAGUGACGGUACCUGCAGAAGAAGUACCGGCUAACUACGUGCCAGCAGCCGCGGUAAUACGUAGGGUACGAGCGUUGUCCGGAAUUAUUGGGCGUAAAGAGCUCGUAGGUGGUUGGUCACGUCUGCUGUGGAAACGCAACGCUUAACGUUGCGCGGGCAGUGGGUACGGGCUGACUAGAGUGCAGUAGGGGAGUCUGGAAUUCCUGGUGUAGCGGUGAAAUGCGCAGAUAUCAGGAGGAACACCGGUGGCGAAGGCGGGACUCUGGGCUGUAACUGACACUGAGGAGCGAAAGCAUGGGGAGCGAACAGGAUUAGAUACCCUGGUAGUCCAUGCCGUAAACGUUGGGCA